AGCAGCCGCGGUAAUUCCAGCUCCAAUAGCGUAUAUUAAAGUUGUUACAGUUAAAAAGCUCGUAGUUGAAUUUUGGGAUCAAUGGGUUGGUCAUGCCCUCGGUAUGUACUGAUUUCAUUGGUUCUCACCUUCUAAGGAACCAUGAUGUCAUUCGUUUGAUGUUGUGGGGAAUUAGGACUGUUACCUUGAAAAAAUUAGAGUGUUUAAAGCAGGCUAACGUUUGAAUACAUUAGCAUGGAAUAAUGAAAUAGGACAUCCGAUUCUAUUUUGUUGGUUUUUAGGAUCGAUGUAAUGAUUAAUAGGGAUAGUUGGAGGCAUUAGUAUUCAAUUGUCAGAGGUGAAAUUCUUGGAUUUAUUGAAGACUAACUACUGCGAAAGCAUUUGCCAAGGAUGUUUUCAUUAAUCAAGAACGAAAGUUAGAGGAUCGAAGACGAUCAGAUACCGUCGUAGUCUUAACCAUAAACUAUGCCGACUAGGGAUCGGAUGAUGCUUAUUUUUAAUGACUCAUUCGGCACCUUACG
rnacentral:rRNA from 1 species